rnacentral:rRNA from 1 species
UACGGGGGGCAAGCGUUGUUCGGAAUUACUGGGCGUAAAGGGCUCGUAGGCGGCCAACUAAGUCAGACGUGAAAUCCCUCGGCUUAACCUGGGAACUGCAUCCGAUACUGGUUGGCUUGAAUCCGGAGAGGGAUGCAGAAUUCCAGGUGUAGCGGUGAAAUGCGUAGAUAUCUGGAGGAAUACCGGUGGCGAAGGCGGCAUCCUGGACCGGCAUUGACGCUGAUGAGCGAAAGCUAGGGAGCAACGGG